rnacentral:tRNA from 1 species
CCCUGGGUGAUUUAAUGGUUAAUAUGCUUGACUGCUAACUGAAAGAUUGGUGGUUCAAGUCCACCCAUAGGCA